rnacentral:lncRNA from 1 species
GACAGGACAGGGAAGGGAUGAGGGUACUCUCCGAUGGCAAUUAAGGGAUGGUUGGGAGGGAGUGCCCCCUUGCUCCUGCGAUCCGUGCGGGUCAUCGGCACUUCCACAGGAAAGGAGAAGGAAAAGGAAAAGUACUGGCCAGGGCGCUGCUCCCAGGCACCUGCCCAAUCCUGCCUUCUAGACAGAGGCACACCCGCGCCAGAAGGCCUGAAAGUCAGGAAGCGAGUGCCAAAAGGAAGCAGGGCACGCCUGCAGGAAGCUCCUACUGGCUCAAGUCUGGACUUUAAGUGCUUCCAUAAGGAUAACAACUGCCAGGAAUGGAACUUCAAGAGAUUAUUUUGGCAAGUCUUGAGUUCCCGAUGCUCUUUCAUUGCAAAGUAACUCCUGGAUCACGGCUGGUUUUGUUUGUGGUCGGUUUCCUGGUGGUUUUGGAGGCUGAGGAUGAUCUCCACCCCUGGGGAAUUCAGGGGAAGCGUGGACCCUGAACCUCGGUACUCUGUCCUGCUACCCUUGGACGUGCCCCUUCACCAAAGGGCAGCCAUGGCACGAGGACCCUUAGGACACCAGGGACACAGCUAAGAACUGGAAGCGAAAGGAAACGAGGGAAGCAGUAUGUCCUCACCUCCACCACCACUGCCAAGGCACUGCCAAAGCUGUCCUGGACCUAGGGCACGGAGGGGUGCUUCGCUGGGACUUGGCGGCCUUCCAGGACUGACCAGGAGACACAAGGUGCCUAGAGACCAGGGGACACACCAGCAGGCAGAUCCCUGCCACGAGGGUCCCUCCUGAGUGCCACCAAGGGCUCUGACCCAAGAGUAGACCUGCCUGGGGGUGGG